rnacentral:rRNA from 1 species
ACGCUGGCGGCGUGGAUAAGACAUGCAAGUCGUGCGACAGACCAGGAAUUGAUUACUUCGGUUUGAUUUUCCUGACGAUGAGCGGCGAACGGGUGCGUAACACGUGAGAAACCUGCCCUUAAGUUCGGGAUAGCCCUACGAAAGUAGGAUUAAUACCGAAUGUGGCCAAGGAAGGGCAUCUUCCCUUGGCUAAAGCUCGGUUAUAGAGCGCUUUUGGAUGGUCUCGCGGUCUAUCAGCUUGUUGGUGAGGUAACGGCUCACCAAGGCUCUGACGGAUAGCUGGUCUGAGAGGAUGAUCAGUCACACUGGAACUGAGACACGGUCCAGACACCUACGGGUGGCAGCAGUCGAGAAUCAUUCACAAUGGGCGCAAGCCUGAUGGUGCGACGCCGCGUGGGGGAUGAAGGGCUUCGGUUCGUAAACCCCUGUCAUCUGUGAGUAAGGCUCCCAAUAAAAGCUUGGGAGAUUGAUAUUAGCAGAAGAGGAAGGGACGGCUAACUCAGUGCCAGCAGCCGCGGUAAUACUGAGGUCCCAAGCGUUGUUCGGAUUUACUGGGCGUAAAGGGUGCGUAGGCGGCUAGAAAAGUUUGGUGUGAAAUCUCCGGGCUCAACCCGGAAACUGCAUUGAAAACUAGAUAGCUAGAGGAUCGGAGAGGAGAUUGGAAUUCUCGGUGUAGCAGUGAAAUGCGUAGAUAUCGAGAGGAACACCAGUUGCGAAGGCGGAUCUCUGGACGGUUCCUGACGCUGAGGCACGAAAGCUGGGGUAGCGAAGAGGAUUAGAUACCCUCGUAGUCCCAGCCGUAAACGGUGCGCACUUGCUGUGGGCGGAUUCGACCCCGUCCGUGGCGAAGCUAACGCGUUAAGUGCGCCGCCUGGGGAGUACGGUCGC